UGAGUGUAUGUGUAUAUAUGUACAUCUACAUAUAUGCAUACACACACACACACACACACACACACACACACACACACACAC
rnacentral:miRNA from 1 species